UAUUUGAGGCCACUAAGAGAUAAAUACCUGCAAGAAAACUACUAUCUGAAACUUCCAUCAGAGAACAUUUUCAGGAGCACUCUCAGGGUGUCAUCUUCACAGAUUGUUUUGACACAAUGGCCUAUGCAGAAAAGACUCAUUUGAGAGAGCCAAGGAAGAAUAAAAGUUACAAGCUUUCCAUCUCAGUCUUUCACAGGCACCUAUAUGAAAAUUUUAGAGAAUCCCGACAAGUGCAUCACAAGGAGAGUAUAUCACAGAGAUCUUAUGCGAUAUUGGCUACAAAACAUUUGGAGGAUUCACACUGAAGGGAUGAAAGUGGGAACUCGAAACAUCACAUGAUGGCGUUUGACUACUGCAGCAGAAUUGUACGGAAGGGUGUAACAAAUAGAUGGUGUGGGAAAAUUUUGACCUUCAACUGGACUACAGUGUGUAAACUUUGUCUUAAAUAUGGAUAUGAAAACUGUACUCUGCAAUAAAAAAAAAAAAAAAA